rnacentral:tRNA from 1 species
UGGCUCAAUGGUUAAGAGCACUGGCUGCUCUUUCAGAGGACCUGGGUUCAAUUCCCAG